rnacentral:rRNA from 1 species
CCUACGGGAGGCAGCAGUGGGGAAUUUUGGACAAUGGGCGCAAGCCUGAUCCAGCAAUGCCGCGUGCAGGAUGAAGGCCUUCGGGUUGUAAACUGCUUUUGUACGGAACGAAACGGUCCUUUCUAAUACAAGGGGCUAAUGACGGUACCGUAAGAAUAAGCACCGGCUAACUACGUGCCAGCAGCCGCGGUAAUACGUAGGGUGCGAGCGUUAAUCGGAAUUACUGGGCGUAAAGCGUGCGCAGGCGGUUAUAUAAGACAGAUGUGAAAUCCCCGGGCUCAACCUGGGACCUGCAUUUGUGACUGUAUAGCUAGAGUACGGUAGAGGGGGAUGGAAUUCCGCGUGUAGCAGUGAAAUGCGUAGAUAUGCGGAGGAACACCGAUGGCGAAGGCAAUCCCCUGGACCUGUACUGACGCUCAUGCACGAAAGCGUGGGGAGCAAACAGGAUUAGAUACCCUGGUAGUCCACGCCCUAAACGAUGUCAACUGGUUGUUGGGUCUUCACUNACUCAGUAACGAAGACACGACGUGAGUAGACCGCCGUGGGAGGUACGGCCGCGAGGUAGAACGUACGAAGAGUAGUAGACGNGNGAGAGCGACGACGACGACGACGGAGGGAGGAGG